UAGAGUUUGAUCCUGGCUCAGAACGAACGUUGGCGGCGUGGAUUAGGCAUGCAAGUCGAACGAGAACCUUCGGGCAACUGAAGGGGAAAGUGGCGAAAGGGGCAGUAAGGUAUGGGUAACCUACCCCGGGGAUUGGGAUAGCCUUCCUAACGGAUGGGUAAUACCAGGCGAUCUGGCGAGGGGGCAUCUCCUUGCCAGGAAAUGAAUUUCGUCUCGGGAGGGGCUCAUAUAGUAUUAGCUUGUUGGUGGGGUAACGGCCUACCAAGGCAAAGAUGCUUAGCGGGUGUGAGAGCACGACCCGCGCCACUGGCACUGAGACACUGGCCAGACUCCUACGGGAGGCUGCAGUCGAGGAUCUUCGGCAAUGGGCGCAAGCCUGACCGAGCGACGCCGCGUGUGCGAUGAAGGCCUUCGGGUUGUAAAGCACUGUCGAGGGGGAGGAAAGCCGCAAGGUUUGACCUAUCCCUUGGGAGGAAGCACGGGCUAAGUUCGUGCCAGCAGCCGCGGUAAGACGAACCGUGCGAACGUUGUUCGGAAUCACUGGGCUUAAAGGGCGCGUAGGCGGUUGAUCAAGUCUGGGGUGAAAUCUUUCGGCUUAACCGGAAAAGUGCCUUGGAUACUGGUCAGCUGGAGGGAGGUAGGGGCAGUUGGAACUUCCAGUGGGAGCGGUGAAAUGCGUUGAUAUUGGAAGGAACGCCGGUGGCGAAAGCGAGCUGCUGGACCUCUUCUGACGCUGAGGCGCGAAAGCUAGGGGAGCAAACGGGAUUAGAUACCCCGGUAGUCCUAGCCCUAAACGUUGGGUACUAGGUAGUGGACUUAACAUGGGUUCACUGCCGAAGCAAAAGUGUUAAGUACCCCGCCUGGGGAGUACGGCCGCAAGGCUAAAACUCAAAGGAAUUGACGGGGGCCCGCACAAGCGGCGGAGCAUGUGGAUUAAUUCGAUGCAACGCGAAGAACCUUACCUGGGUUUGACAUGCGCAGGACGCCAGUAGAGAUAUUGGUUCCCUUGUGGCCUGUGUGCAGGUGGUGCAUGGCUGUCGUCAGCUCGUGUCGUGAGAUGUUGGGUUAAGUCCCGCAACGAGCGCAACCCUUGUCUCAUGUUGCCAGCGCGUUAUGGCGGGGACUCGUGAGAGACUGCCGGGGUCAACUCGGAGGAAGGUGGGGAUGACGUCAAGUCAUCAUGCCCCUUAUGUCCAGGGCUUCACACAUGCUACAAUGGCCGGUACAAAGGGCCGCGAUGCCGUGAGGUUAAGCGAAUCCUUUAAAGCCGGUCUCAGUUCGGAUCGGGGUCUGCAACUCGACCCCGUGAAGUCGGAGUCGCUAGUAAUCGCAGAUCAGCAACGCUGCGGUGAAUACGUUCCCGGGCCUUGUACACACCGCCCGUCACGCCAUGAAAGUCGGUAA
rnacentral:rRNA from 1 species